rnacentral:rRNA from 1 species
UAACGACUCUCGGCAACGGAUAUCUCGGCUCUCGCAUCGAUGAAGAACGUAGCGAAAUGCGAUACUUGGUGUGAAUUGCAAAAUCCCGCGAAUCAUCGAGUCUUUGAACGCAAGUUGCGCCCGAAGCCAUUCGGCCGAGGGCACGUCUGCCUGGGUGUCACG